UCUGACUGAUGAACAGCUGAUCAACGAGUUUCUGAGUGGCUCAUACUGUCUGCAUGGGGGCGUUGGAUGGUGGAAGUAUGAAUUCUGUUACGGAAAGCAUGUCCACCAGUAUCAUGAGGAUAAAGAACAAGGGA